rnacentral:lncRNA from 1 species
AUUAUCUUACCUCCUAUACAUUUCCAGGAAUAUGAUUGGUUAAAAGCGUCCGCGUGCAAACCGUGUAUAUUUGAUAUUAGGUUAGUAGGGAGGUGGGGCUUAUCUCAUACACGGUUAGUAGUGGAGUUGUGUCCCUUUAUAUUCCUUAUUAGGUAAGAAGGGGAGGGGCUUAUUUCAUACACGGUUAGUAAUGGUGUUAUAUCCCUUUGUAAAAAACAAAACGGUACCGAGAAAAAAUCUUAAAAGUUCCAACAGACGAAGAAAUUGACGAUUAAGAUUGAAACAAAUUCAUAAAACACAUUUAAAC